rnacentral:lncRNA from 1 species
UUGGUAUUGGUGAAACUUCUUCACUCUUUCCGGUAGACCUGAAAGACGGUUCUUCAGACAGCGACUCUAGUGCAAUUUCUUCAUCCGGGGUCCUUCAAAGUCAGCAGCACCUUUUGUUGUCUCCUGAAUCUUCCUCCAUGAAUUGUUUCCAGUACCAGAAAUCUUAUCAUGUGAAGAUGGAGGAGCACAAUUUCUUAAGUGCGGAUGAGGCGUGCAACUUUUUCUCCGACGAGCAAGCACCAACCCUACAAUGGUACUGUCCUGACCAGUGGAGUUAAAAUUAAAAGCAACAAAAAGGUUAAGGGUUUUAAUGUGAAAAGAAAUAAUUUCUCAAAGAG